GACGAACGCUGGCGGCGUGCUUAACACAUGCAAGUCGAACGGAAAGGCCCUGCUUUUGUGGGGUGCUCGAGUGGCGAACGGGUGAGUAACACGUGAGUAACCUGCCCUUGACUUUGGGAUAACUUCAGGAAACUGGGGCUAAUACCGGAUAGGAGCUCCUGCUGCAUGGUGGGGGUUGGAAAGUUUCGGCGGUUGGGGAUGGACUCGCGGCUUAUCAGCUUGUUUGUGGGGUAGUGGCUUUCCAAGGCUUUGACGGGUAGCCGGCCUGAGAGGGUGACCGGCCACAUUGGGACUGAGAUACGGCCCAGACUCCUACGGGAGGCAGCAGUGGGGAAUAUUGCACAAUGGGCGGAAGCCUGAUGCAGAAACGCCGCGUGCGGGAUAACGGCCUUCGGGUUGUAAACCGCUGUCGCCUGUGACGAAGCGUGAGUGACGGUAAUGGGUAAAGAAGCACCGGCUAACUACGUG
rnacentral:rRNA from 1 species